rnacentral:tRNA from 5 species
CGGGGUGUAGCGUAGCCUGGUAGCGCGCCUGCUUUGGGAGCAGGAUGUCGGGAGUUCAAAUCUCUCCACCCCGACCA